rnacentral:rRNA from 1 species
AAAUUGAACUCGCUGUGAAGAUGCAGUGUACCCGCGGCAAGACGGAAAGACCCCGUGAACCUUUACUAUAGCUUGACACUGAACAUUGAGCCUUGAUGUGUAGGAUAGGUGGGAGGCUUUGAAGUGUGGACGCCAGUCUGCAUGGAGCCGACCUUGAAAUACCACCCUUUAAUGUUUGAUGUUCUAACGUUGGCCCCUAAUCGGGGUUGCGGACAGUGUCUGGUGGGUAGUUUGACUGGGGCGGUCUCCUCCUAAAGAGUAACGGAGGAGCACGAAGGUUGGCUAAUCCUGGUCGGACAUCAGGAGGUUAGUGCAAUGGCAUAAGCCAGCUUGACUGCGAGCGUGACGGCGCGAGCAGGUGCGAAAGCAGGUCAUAGUGAUCCGGUGGUUCUGAAUGGAAGGGCCAUCGCUCAACGGAUAAAAGGUACUCCGGGGAUAACAGGCUGAUACCGCCCAAGAGUUCAUAUCGACGGCGGUGUUUGGCACCUCGAUGUCGGCUCAUCACAUCCUGGGGCUGAAGUAGGUCCCAAGGGUAUGGCUGUUCGCCAUUUAAAGUGGUACGCGAGCUGGGUUUAGAACGUCGUGAGACAGUUCGGUCCCUAUCUGCCGUGGGCGCUGGAGAACUGAGGGGGGCUGCUCCUAGUACGAGAGGACCGGAGUGGACGCAUCACUGGUGUUCGGGUUGUCAUGCCAAUGGCACUGCCCGGUAGCUAAAUGCGGAAGAGAUAAGUGCUGAAAGCAUCUAAGCACGAAACUUGCCCCG